rnacentral:rRNA from 1 species
GACGAACGCUGGCGGCGUGCCUAAUACAUGCAAGUCGAGCGAGCUUGCCUAGAUGAUUUUAGUGCUUGCACUAGAUGAAUCUAGCUACAAGCGAGCGGCGGACGGGUGAGUAACACGUGGGUAACCUGCCCAAGAGACUGGGAUCACACCUGGAAACAGAUGCUAAUACCGGAUAACAACACUAGACGCAUGUCUAGAGUUUGAAAGAUGGUUCUGCUAUCACUCUUGGAUGGACCUGCGGUGCAUUAGCUAGUUGGUAAGGUAACGGCUUACCAAGGCAAUGAUGCAUAGCCGAGUUGAGAGACUGAUCGGCCACAUUGGGACUGAGACACGGCCCAAACUCCUACGGGAGGCAGCAGUAGGGAAUCUUCCUCAAUGGACGAAAUUCUGAUGGAUUAACUCCCCGUGUUUGAUGAAGGGUUUCGGCUCGUAAAGCUCUGUUGGUAGUGAAGAAAGAUAGAGGUAGUAACUGGCCUUUAUUUGACGGUAAUUACUUAGAAAGUCACGGCUAACUAC